AUGGAUGAAGCUGCCAAACUGGCAACCACAACAUUUCUUUGUUUGAGUAAAGAAAACCACCUCAGAAGAUGACCUUUCCUCAACGUUUUUCUCAACUCCAAUAGAAAUCCAGAGAGAGGUAUUUGAGAAGGCAGAUUUUUCUGUGGAAGUUAGUUUCCUUCUUGAAUUUUCAAAUUGCAGCAACCUAAACUGAGUAUCUUGCAAAAAGUAAGAUUAAUCAACAGUUUGGUUGUUCCAAAGAAGCAUCUCCUGCCAAGGGCAAUAUGGCAGAAAGACAGAGGCAAGGAGUCAAAGGUUGUGACUGGAGUCUUGCGCCUUCCUGAAACUUCUGUUCCAGACAAACUGGUCUUCUGACUGUCCCAAGAAUAGGCCCAGUGAGAGUCAAAAAGUGCCCAGGAGACCAUAUCCACCUGGCCAGCUGCCACAGGCUCUUCAACCCUACCGAGGAUGGGAUCCAUCAUGCCUUCCUCCUCACUGUGGCCCAGGACUUAUUCCGCUACCUCUUCCUCCUGGUCCACCAGGGCGCAUUCCUCCUCCUCCUCCCUUUGGCCCAGGGCGCAUUCCAUUUCAACCCCUUCCACAGGGACCCAUUAAACAAGCUAAACCCUUUCCAGGUUACCCAGAACCACCUUUCCAACAAAGACCUUACCCUCCAGGACCUCCUCAGGUGCCAAAAGGCCAACUUCCCUUUAUUCCUUUUUGCCCUCCUUGCCCCACCCCUACAACCCUAUGUGAAACAACCACCACAGCUACAACCACAAGCACUACCGUUACAGAACCCACCACCAUACCACGAAAGAAACCACUACUUCCACAGAACUCACUACCACAACAGCAACCACCACCACUUGCACUGAACCUUCCACCACCCCAGCAGCCAUCACUUCCACUGAACCCACCACCACAGCACCCACCACCAGCACUUCCAUAGAACCCAUUGUCACCACAACAGAAGCCACCACUUCCUCAACAGCACCGACUUAUUCAGCAACAGAACCCAGCACCACCACAUCAACAGCAACCACCACUGCAGCAUCUACUGCAGCUACUACUCAAAUUACAACUACCACUAAUUCACCACUCCAGCAAAAAAUACAAUCACAACAAAACUACAUCAAAAAAAUAUAACUUUUAAGAGUUUUUGGAAUAAAUCCUUUGCCAUUUUUCAUAGGAAGAUAUGAGAAAUGAUAUUUUCCAAACCACUGUGAGCUCUUAGGAGAAAUGAACUUCAGUUAUUUCAAUGGAACCAACCGUGUAAUCAGUACACAAAACAAAUAAAGUAUUUGAGCAAUAACAUGCACCUAUUGCCAUGAUAACUGUCGUGAUAACUCCCACUCUAUCCUAUAUUUUAUUAC
rnacentral:lncRNA from 1 species